rnacentral:rRNA from 1 species
AGAGAGAGACAUGCGCGCAUAUCAAUAAGCGGAGGAAAAGAAACUAACUAGGAUUCCCUCAGUAACGGCGAGUGAAGCGGGAAGAGCUCAAAUUUGAAAUCUUCAAGGUUCUACCUUGACGAAUUGUAGUUUAAAGAAGUGUUUUCUGUUGGAGUUUUGGUAAAAGUUCUUUGGAAUAGGACAUCAUAGAGGGUGAGAAUCCCGUAUUUGACCAUUAUUUCCAGCUUUGUGAUACACUUUCAAAGAGUCGGAUUGUUUGGGAAUGCAGUCCAAAAUGGGUGGUAAAUUUCAUCUAAAGCUAAAUAUUGGCGAGAGACCGAUAGCGAACAAGGUACCGUGAGGGAAAGAUGAAAAGAACUCUGAAAAGAGAGUUAAACAGUACGUGAAAUUGUCAAAAGGGAAGCGUUUGACACCAGUGUUGUUUUCUCGAAAAUCAAUUAAAAAAGGCAGGAUUUUGUGUUGUAUUGACUUUAUCAGCUUUCUGCACUCUUUUCUUGUCUUUUUUAAUGCACUUUUCGUUUAACAAGUCAACAUCAAUUUCUUUUGUUGUAAAAGGGUCAUUGGAAGGUGGCUUUCUUUUCGGAGAAAGUGUUUAUAGCCUUUGGCCUCUGCAAUCGGAGAGAUUGAGGUCUGCAGCGUAGAUCCUUCGGGGUUAGAUACAUUUGUGCUAAGUUAUAGCCUUUCAUAGACAACUUGUUGACUAUGAUCAGUCAUGUAGCUUACUCGCUUAUGCUAUUUUACCUACGCUUAGGAUGUUGAUGUGAUACUGCGAGCA